GGAGCUGUGCCGGAUUGGCAGCCAAUUCCGCGGCGGCGACGUCGGCGAUCGCGCUAUCCCAAAGCGCUCGCGCGAUCCCAGAUCAUCAGGCGGCAUUGUCGCCCCUGCAAGAUUUCGACUCCUCUGCGAAUGCAAUCGUAAGUGGAUCAUCUGUCUCGGCUUACCGGAUGGAAAUUUGUGCUCGUUUCUUACCUCUAGAUCCUCGAGCCAGUCCGGGAGGGAGGUCAGGAUGUGGCUAUCGUGUUCGCUUCUGGCGCAUUGACGCCCGCGAGCGAUUACAUCCCGCUUUGCCAGGAGAUCCA
rnacentral:lncRNA from 1 species